rnacentral:rRNA from 1 species
UACGGAGGGGGCUAGCGUUGUUCGGAAUUACUGGGCGUAAAGCGCACGUAGGCGGCUUUGUAAGUUAGAGGUGAAAGCCCGGGGCUCAACUCCGGAAUUGCCUUUAAGACUGCAUCGCUAGAAUUGUGGAGAGGUAAGUGGAACUCCGAGUGUAGAGGUGAAAUUCGUAGAUAUUCGGAAGAACACCAGUGGCGAAGGCGACUUACUGGACACAUAUUGAUGCUGAGGUGCGAAAGCGUGGGGAGCAGACAGG